UAUCGCAAGGAGGUUGCUUGGCUGGCAUCGCAAGCUCUCUCUCCCCUGAGAAACAGCCCUCAUCGGUGACAGUGGUAAUCAUCUUCUCUGUAGCAACUGCUGUAUCACGGAGAACUAACCACCAUGGGACCAGGAGCAAGGUGAUAGUGAAUCUACUCUUUACUGAAGAGCCUCAUGGGUGAGGAAGAAAAACCAGGUUUAAUCAACUCUAAAUUAAAGACACUUGGAAAAUGCUAUUCUGCCAAGGAAGAAGCACUUCAGUUUCCAAGAUGUCUUGUGAUAGAUGCCAAAACCAUGAUUUAAAGAGAAGUCGAGGUCAUUUCAUCUUCUGUGGAGGAAAAAUGAGUUAACUUGACCUUGUAAACUCAGAGAAGAAGAAAGGAGAGCAAAACAUCUUGAAGACGUGCCUUGUACUAUCAGAUACUUCUUUUGUUAGGUUUCCUUGAGCACAUGCAGAAGACUAAGAACACUAAGGAGCGAAGCCUGGCAAGGAUCAAGAAAAGAAAGGAAAGUGUUGGGGGCAUGAGUUGUAGAAGAAACUAAGUGAAUCAGAGACCCAAAACUUCAGAAACCACAUUGGAACAGAAGUCUUAGGCUAUUCAGCACAAUGCACAAUAGCCAAGAAGAAAAUAAACUGAGAAUCAAUAACCUCAAAUUCUGA